AAAUAAGAAACAAACACUUGUACUUAGUUUCGACCUAAAAUUGUGGUAUUCAGUUACCCUUAUUUA
rnacentral:tRNA from 1 species